GGCUGCGGGGUCUCCGCGGGCACUUCCAGCGCCGACUGACCAAGGAGGUGGCUCCUCCCACCCGCGUCCAGCCGACCUCGGGGUCCCGGGCCCCGACGGGGGGCCGUCUUCCCGCCAGUCUUACCAGCGCCCGGGGAAGGCGGCCACCCGGACCUACCCAGCCUCUCGGAGGCCCACACCUACAGGCGGCGGAAGUGCGUCCGCGAACCCGGCCCAGCCCUGCGCCUGCGCUUCCGCCGGCUUCGGGAAGGUCCGAGCCGUUUGGCUUGGCCGAGCGCCCCGUGCCUGCAGCGAGGUCUGCACAUCAGGACGCCUAGGCCUGUGGGGUUUUGAUUUGUAACUCGCCUCAUCUUAAAAAGAGGGUCCGAGCGCCAGCUCCGCGUCGUUGAGUCCCUCCGCCCUACCCCGCGCGGGGCAGCGGGCGGGGACUUUCCUAGGCGCGCUUCCCCUCCGAGCAUCACUUCUCUAAUUCCAGUUCACCGACCCCGAGUCCUCUUCCCCUCCCUGCCAACCUGCCUCCCUGGACAGCAUCCCCCACUCCAUCCCGACCCCCGUCAACCUGAAUGUAUUUACCAGGCAGGCACAUCGCGCAACCAGAAUGUGUCCGCAGUGUUCCCAUCAGUACAGUCACUCCGUCUGGAUCAUAAAUGCGCCGCAAAGAGAGGAAAGGAAAGGAGGAGGCUUAAGGCACGCUGUGAUGGGUGCGGUGCUGUGUGUUCUACUUACAACCCGGAAACACGCAAAAAGCUUAAGUGACCUGCCCAAGUUUGCACAGCCCAGGGACAGGAUGCACCCCAUGCAUGUGUGACCAAGACCUGUCCUGGGAUCCCUACAGCGUGGCCACAGUGAGAGAGACCACCACUGCUCAAGAACGAGAUAUUGGUUUCAAUAUUGGCUUCGCGGCCUCCCCGCUACACAGGAAACACGUACUAAAUAUUUACUGCGUGAGUAAAUUUCAUGAGGAUGCCGGGAUGUCCCCACUUUUCCUGCGAAAAGGCAGAUUACUCCUCCCAUGAGAAGCAGGAGUCAGGGGCGGACCGUGGGGCAGUUUUCUUCUGGCAGAACGCAGCCGAUCCAAGACAGAUGCCACCCUUCCUCGCCUUGCCCGACUGGGUCAGGCCACUCCUCUUACCAGUGACCCUAUAAUCUCCGCAAGCAGGAAUGCCCGAGCCCCCCCCAACCACGCCCUCUUAGCCCUCAACGAUGACGUCACGCGCGGCGGAGGUAACUAUGGAAACCCAUAUUCUUUCCCGAAAUAGGAGGGCGCGAACGCUCUCCCAACGCCAAACCUAGUUCCACCUUUCCUCGGGAUUCCUCUGAGGUCCCGGUCCAGAGCGCCACAGGGCUGCUGCAAUCCCGAAGGUAACAUGAUAGGGACUGGGUGUUUAAAGGGGACAAAGGGCCCGGACAUCUGAGGCCCCAGAGCCGGACUCACCUCUCCCACAGGGCUGGUUCCGAUCGGACACUUCCGGUGGAAGGACGGAGCUGCAAUACGCCCUCAGGCGUCCUUCCACAGAGACUUUUGAGGCUGCGCAGAAGGAGACGGGCCGGCUUUGGACUGCGCUUCCCAGAAGCCUUCGGAUCUCCUCAGGAGCCGGGACUCCAUUUCCCAGGCGUCUUCGCUACGGUCUUGAAGUCCUCAGACUUUGAAGGAGAAGGCGUCUUUUCUUCUCUUUGUAGUAAUAAGCUUGCCUCUAUAGCUCCCAUGCGGGCCUCAUCCUUGACUUCAUCCCAUUUCAGUAUGGGGCCGUGAAAUGGAAGCCCACGCAGCAGGGACGCGGCUCAAACUUCACCUUUGGACUUAUGGGAAACUUUUCCCAAAUCCUUGGUUUGUCCCUAACCCGGGUGGACCGCAGAUAUGCAAAACGGGGUUAAUCAUAACGCCUGGUUUAAGACUUUGCGUUACCCUAAAUUGUGAACAUUCUUUAAUCCAUUACCAAAUCUAUAAGAACCAGAACGUUGACAAUAACCUAACCUUUACUACAACUCUUUCUCUUGUCUCCCUCUGUAUUUUGUGUCCCCUUACUUAUUGAAAAGAUAGUUCUGCUUGAUACAUACACAUGGCCAAACAAUAUAGGCUUUUAAUUUUAGUUGUUUUUGUCUGAAAGGCAUCAUGUCAUAGGUAAUCUGAAUUUGCUGCUUUUCACUCAAUAAGUUAAGAUAUACCCAUAUUGUUGAGUUAAAAUUCAUUUUCAUUACUGUAUAAUAUUCCAUUUGUGAAUAUAGCAUUGUGUUCAUCCUUUCUCCUAAGAUGGGUUGAUAACACUAUUAUCUCUCUUGUGGAUUACCGCAGUAAACUUUUUUUAACAUCUU